rnacentral:tRNA from 1 species
GGGGAUGUAGUUAAAAAUAACAUCUAAUUUGCAAUUAGAAGGUACUUUAUUAUAAGUCUUCCUCA